AUGCUGGGCUUAGUCACCCUCCUCCUCGCCUCCCUGUUCCCUGCUGGGCAGACUGCUCUCACCAUGGACCAGCCGAUUGUCUCCAUCACCAAAAAGGCUGGAACACUAGCUUCAGUUCUCUGCGAGUUUUCCAACAAGGCUACCUAUGUCCAUUGGUAUCGCCAGCAGCCUGGGAAGGCUCCCCAGCGCCUACUCUACUUUGACCAGGCCACGUCUCAACCCAAGCUGGAUGCCGGAUUCAGCUCAGACAAAUUCUAUGCUUACGAGAGCAAAGAUCAAAGCUGCACCCUGAGUAUAAGGAAACUGGAACUGAGUGAUGCUGGCAUCUAUUACUGUGCCAUCUGGGACUCCACAUUUCACUUGCAAGGAUACUGGGUGGUGGAGCCCAAGCAGGGCACUGUUCUCUGGCGAUGGGUUUCACACACCUGUCCUGAGCCUUUGUGGACCCCACCUGAGAGUCAGGGACACCCAGACUCAGUGCCCUAA